GCAUGCGGCGUGCUACACAUGCAGUCGAACGGGAAUAUUUCAUUGAGACUUCGGUGGAUUUGAUCUAUUUCUAGUGGCGGACGGGUGAGUAACGCGUGGGUAACCUGCCUUAUACAGGGGGAUAACAGUCAGAAAUGGCUGCUAAUACCGCAUAAGCGCACAGAGCUGCAUGGCUCGGUGUGAAAAACUCCGGUGGUAUAAGAUGGACCCGCGUUGGAUUAGCUGGUUGGUGGGGUAACGGCCCACCAAGGCGACGAUCCAUAGCCGGCCUGAGAGGGUGAACGGCCACAUUGGGACUGAGACACGGCCCAGACUCCUACGGGAGGCAGCAGUGGGGAAUAUUGCACAAUGGGGGAAACCCUGAUGCAGCGACGCCGCGUGAAGGAAGAAGUAUCUCGGUAUGUAAACUUCUAUCAGCAGGGAAGAUAGUGACGGUACCUGACUAAGAAGCCCCGGCUAACUACGUGCCAGCAGCCGCGGUAAUACGUAGGGGGCAAGCGUUAUCCGGAUUUACUGGGUGUAAAGGGAG
rnacentral:rRNA from 1 species